ACCUCUUCCCAUUCCGAACAGAGAAGUUAAGCCCGACAGCGCAGAUGGUACUGCAUAACUGUGGGAGAGUAUGUCGCCGCCUUGU
rnacentral:rRNA from 1 species